AGCACCUGGAACACUGAGGCUGGACCACAGAGGCUCAGUAUCUGAAGGCUGAGUUUGAACAGCCAGAGACCAGGGCUAUUAGAGGGCCACAGCGUGGGGCCGUAAG